UUUUUUUUUUUUUUUGAACAAAAACAAACCGAAAGGGUGGCUGGGAUUUGUAGUCCUCACUGGCUUCCUGGCCUACCUCUCUCCGGAAGAAAAUGGCUGCCUCAAGUGCUUGGACCACAUUUCCCGGAGUGCCCCGGGCUCCUGUUUUCCGCCCACUUUCUUCCGUACCCCGCUGCGCCCCAAGCUCGGUGACCUUUGAAAGUUAACAGGGGUGCCAUGGGCUGAGUAAGAUAAACGGAACUGCUGUUCAACCCCGCCCAGUCUAGGGAUGAGUCAUUGUUUUCAAAUUUAUGAACAAAGCGCACAAAUUAAGAAUAAUACAAGCAAGAAACAGCAGAGACACACAAAAGGACAUAGAAUCCCUGAUUCUCACUGUGAUCUAGUAACACUAGUUCUAGGGCUGGAGAGAGAGAUGCUCAGAACUUAAAAGCACCAAUUUGAACAUGAGUUCAAUUCCCAGAAUCCACAUGGUACCUCACAACUGCCUAUUUCAUACAUGUGUACAGACACACAGGCAGAACACCGAUACACAUACUUUUUUUUUUUUUUUUUAAAGAAUUGAAAAAAAAAUUGGUUCUGGACUCCAGUGGGUCUGAGUUUGAAACUGUAGCUGUUCUCCAGUUGUGUGGCCUUGAAUAAGUUAUGGAACUUCAUCAACCAAGCACUGUUAUUGGACAGCAGAGAAUAUGACAAAAUUCAAUGGGUAAUCUGAACAAGUGGCACAUGCUUGCAUACUUGGGAGGAUGACACAGGAGAAGCACUUGAACCCUGAAGUUUACAAACAGCCUAGAUAACACAGGAAGACCCCAUCUCAGAAGAAUAGAUGAGAUGACUAUUUCUCAGCUUCAGCAUUGCAGAUGAUCAGCUAAUGUGGAACUCUCCAGCCCCUUUGCACAUUGCAUUUCUUUGCAUGGCUUUUGGUUGGUAACUACACAUUUGGUAUCAAUUUGGAUUUUUUUUCUGUAUACCCCAAAUGCUAGCCAUAGUCUUGGGCAUAUAGUAGGCAGUCAAACUGUUGGUGUAUGAACCAUUCUCAGUAAUUCUUUUGUUGUAGAUAGUCUCUGAGGAAUUAUCCCCUAUUGAAUGGUCUCAUAACAGUUUUGGAAAGGGCUCAUGUAGGAAAAAACUAAGAUAAGAUUUUACCCAGGAAGAUCUCCACAAGUGCAGAGUAGAGACUUCAGGGCAUUCCCAGCCUCAUUGUGUUGCCAAAUCUACCCUCACAAUGCAUGACUUAACUCAUAAAUCAUGGGCCAGUCACAGUUUUUUAAAUUCUACUCUUCAGUCUCCCAUGCUCUGGAGAAGGUAUUUAAAUUGCCAAAAUGUUUACAGUAGUUCUCUAGGUUUUAUAAGACUAAGAAGUUUACUGGUAAUUUUUCUGUACAAAAAAAAAUUGCAUUAUUUUAACUUUAAAAGUUUUUACUUCAAAAACAAUAAAACAUUUAAAGUGGCAGUUAUGAUAGUAGUGAUAUAGUAAAUAUAUUUUUUCUGUCACAUCUUCCAAGUCUAGAAUGUGUGCUCCAUUGGAUGUAACAGCAAAGUUUCAUUAGUGGAGAACGUCGGUAAUAACAGAUUCUUCUUCCCACUGUGGUGGACCAGGGAGACAGACAACUUUCU
ensembl:processed_transcript RIKEN cDNA 2500004C02 gene